UGGGGAAUUUUGGACAAUGGGCGAAAGCCUGAUCCAGCCAUGCCGCGUGAGUGAAGAAGGCCUUCGGGUUGUAAAGCUCUUUUAGUCGGAAAGAAAGAGUUGCAAUGAAUAAUUGUGAUUUAUGACGGUACCGACAGAAAAAGCACCGGCUAACUACGUGCCAGCAGCCGCGGUAAUACGUAGGGUGCGAGCGUUAAUCGGAAUUACUGGGCGUAAAGGGUGCGCAGGCGGUCUUGCAAGUCAGAUGUGAAAGCCCCGGGCUUAACCUGGGAAUUGCGUUUGAAACUACAAGACUAGAGUGCAGCAGAGGGGAGUGGAAUUCCAUGUGUAGCAGUGAAAUGCGUAGAGAUGUGGAAGAACACCGAUGACGAAGGCAGCUCCCUGGGUUGACACUGACGCUCAUGCACGAAAGCGUGGGGAGCAAACA
rnacentral:rRNA from 1 species